UACGUAGGGACCAAGCGUUGUUCGGAUUUACUGGGCGUAAAGGGCGCGUAGGCGGCGUGACAAGUCACUUGUGAAAUCUCUGGGCUUAACCCAGAACGGCCAAGUGAAACUGUUGUGCUAGAGUGCAGAAGGGGCAAUCGGAAUUCUCGGUGUAGCGGUGAAAUGCGUAGAUAUCGAGAGGAACACCAGAGGUGAGGACGGGUUGCUGGGCUGACACUGACGCUGAGGCGCGAAAGCCAGGGGAGCAAACGGG
rnacentral:rRNA from 1 species